CCUACGGGUGGCUGCAGUCGAGAAUCAUUCACAAUGGGGGAAACCCUGAUGGUGCGACGCCGCGUGGGGGAAUGAAGGUCUUCGGAUUGUAAACCCCUGUCAUGUGGGAGCAAAUUAGAAAGAUAGUCCCACAAGAGGAAGAGACGGCUAACUCUGUGCCAGCAGCCGCGGUAAUACAGAGGUCUCAAGCGUUGUUCGGAAUCACUGGGCGUAAGGCGUGCGUAGGGUGUUUCGUAAGUCGUGUGUGAAAGGCGCGGGCUCAACCCGCGGACGGCAACUGAUACUGGGAGACUAGAGGAAUGGAGGGGGAACCGGAAUUCUAGGUGUAGCAGUGGAAUGCGUAGAUAUCGAGAGGAACACUCGUGGCGAAGGCGGGUUCCUGGACAGUAACUGACGCUGAGGCACGAAGGCCAGGGGAGCGAAAGGGAUUAGAUACCCUUGUAGUC
rnacentral:rRNA from 1 species